GAUGAACGCUGGCGGCGUGCUUAACACAUGCAAGUCGAACGAUGAAGCCCAGCUUGCUGGGUGGAUUAGUGGCGAACGGGUGAGUAACACGUGAGUAACCUGCCCUUAACUCUGGGAUAAGCCUGGGAAACUGGGUCUAAUACCGGAUAGGAGCGUCCACCGCAUGGUGGGUGUUGGAAAGAUUUAUCGGUUUUGGAUGGACUCGCGGCCUAUCAGCUUGUUGGUGAGGUAAUGGCUCACCAAGGCGACGACGGGUAGCCGGCCUGAGAGGGUGACCGGCCCACUGGGGCAUGGGCACCGCCCCAGCCCCCCCGGGGGGGGAGAGGGGGGGAAUAUGCCACAAGGGGCGAAAGCCGGUUGCAGGGACGCCGGGUGGGGGAGGACGGCCUUCGGGUUGAAAACCUUUUUCAGGGGGGAAGAAGCGAAAGGGGCGGGACCGGCAGAAGAAGCACCGGCUAAAUACGU
rnacentral:rRNA from 1 species